GAUGAAGAACGCAGUGAAAUGCGAUACGUAAUGUGAAUUGCAGAAUUCGGUGAAUCAUCGAGUCUUUGAACGCACAUUGCGCCCCCUGGUAUUCCGGGGGGCAUGCCUGUCCGAGCGUCAUUGCUGCCCUCAAGCACGGCUUGUGUGUUGGGCCUCCGUCCUCCUCCCGGGGGACGGGCCCGAAAGGCAGCGGCGGCACCGCGUCCGGUCCUCGAGCGUAUGGGGCUUCGUCACCCGCUCUUGUAGGCCCGGCCGGCGCUUGCCGACACAUCAAUCUUUUUUCCAGGUUGACCUCGGAUCAGGUAGGGAUACCCGCUGAACUUAAGCAUAUCAAUAAGCGGAGGA
rnacentral:misc_RNA from 1 species